rnacentral:rRNA from 1 species
AUUGAACGCUGGCGGCAUGCCUUACACAUGCAAGUCGAACGGUAGAGGGGCAACCCUCGAGAGUGGCGAACGGGUGAGUAACGCAUCGGAACGUGCCCAGUAGUGGGGGAUAGCCCGGCGAAAGCCGGAUUAAUACCGCAUACGACCCACGGGUGAAAGCGGGGGAUCGCAAGACCUCGCGCUAUUGGAGCGGCCGAUGUCAGAUUAGGUAGUUGGUGGGGUAAAAGCCUACCAAGCCGACGAUCUGUAGCUGGUCUGAGAGGACGACCAGCCAAACUGGGACUGAGACACGGCCCAGACUCCUACGGGAGGCAGCAGUGGGGAAUUUUGGACAAUGGACGCAAGUCUGAUCCAGCCAUGCCGCGUGCGGGAAGAAGGCCUUCGGGUUGUAAACCGCUUUUGUCAGGGAAGAAACGCUCUGAGUUAAUACCUCGGAGUAAUGACGGUACCUGAAGAAUAAGCACCGGCUAACUACGUGCCAGCCGCCGCAGUAAUAC